GGCUGCACCUGUGGCAUAUGAUUACAAAGUUGCUAAAAGUGACCCUCAGAGAGGCCCAGAGCGGUGGUCCACAGCGAAAGACGACAAAGCUCAGCAGCGCGCCUUGUGGGGAAGCACAGUCUCCUCAGAGAUUCUCAAACUACCGCUGGAGGAGUUCCCAUUGUGGCGCAGUGGUUAACGAAUCCGACUAGGAACCACGAGGUUGCAGGUUGAUCUUUGGCCUUGCUCAGUGGGUUAAGGAUCCGGCGUGGCUGUGAGCUGUGGUGUAGGUGGCAGACGCGGCUCGGAUCCCGCAUUGCUGUGGCUGUGGUGUAGGCUGGCGGCUACAGCUCCGAUGAGACCCCUAGCCUGGGAACCUCCACAUGCCACAGGAGCCGCCCUAGAAAAGGCAAAAAACUACCGCUGGAGGAAACAGGAUGUCCUGCAUCCCAGUGGAGUGACUGGAGCACAAACUCUGUGAUUGGGUAUUUGAAGGAAUUGUGACUUCCAAGAAGAUGGUAGCUUGGGGUGUUUGGAAUGUGAAGAGAUUAGCUGACACCCCCGCCCCCUUCCGCUGUCCCCCAACCCCCAUCCUCCCAAGGACGUUUGGGCUGUGUUGAGUUAUUUUAUACUAUGAGACAGAAAAAUAAUCUAUAAGACCAGUUUUGCCUCUUCCAUCACAAAAGCUCAGAAGAGACCUAUGCUCUAUGACCCAACCCUAACUAGCAGUUUCCUUUGUCUGGUUUGACGUCAGUUAAUGACUGGACUUUGAACCUGAAAGAACAUUAAAAGGAAAGAUAGCUGAAGGGAAAUCAUUUUCUCUCUGGAUUACCUGGCACCAACAUCCAAAAUGAAAGUCUUCAUUCACUUCACUCUGCUUGCCCUCCUUUUCCUAAAAUCAGCUUCUACCUCCACAUCAAACACAACUUCCACCCCACACCAACCACAACUCCCACCCACACCAACCACAACUCCACCCCCACACCAACCUCAACUCCCACCCCACACCAACACAACUCUCACCCACACCAACCACAACUCCCCCCACACCAACCACAACUCCCACCCCCACACCAACCUCAACUCCCACCCCACACCACACAACUCCACCCACAACACAACUCCACCCACACCACCACAACUCCACCCAACCACAACUCCCACCCCCACACCCAAUCCACCACAACAAUCCCACCCCAC
rnacentral:lncRNA from 1 species